AACGAACGCUGGCGGCAGGCCUAACACAUGCAAGUCGAGCGAGGACUUCGGUCCUAGCGGCGGACGGGUGAGUAACGCGUGGGAACGUACCCUUUGCUACGGAAUAGCCCCGGGAAACUGGGAGUAAUACCGUAUGUGCCCUUUGGGGGAAAGAUUUAUCGGCAAAGGAUCGGCCCGCGUUGGAUUAGGUAGUUGGUGGGGUAAUGGCCUACCAAGCCGACGAUCCAUAGCUGGUUUGAGAGGAUGAUCAGCCACACUGGGACUGAGACACGGCCCAGACUCCUACGGGAGGCAGCAGUGGGGAAUCUUAGACAAUGGGCGCAAGCCUGAUCUAGCCAUGCCGCGUGAGCGAUGAAGGCCUUAGGGUUGUAAAGCUCUUUCAGGGGGGAAGAUAAUGACUGUACCCCCAGAAGAAGCCCCGGCUAACUCCGUGCCAGCCGCCGCAGUAAAAC
rnacentral:rRNA from 1 species